UACCAGCACCCCGAGUGGUCGGGACGUUUAUUGGGCCUAAAGCAUCCGUAGCCGGUUCUACAAGUCUUCCGUUAAAUCCAGCUGCUUAACAGAUGGGCUGCGGAAGAUACUAUGGAGCUAGGAGGCGGGGGAGGCAAGCGGUACUCGAUGGGUAGGGGUAAAAUCCGUUGAUCCAUUGAAGACCACCAGUGGCGAAGGCGGCUACCUGGACAAAUACUGACGCUGAUGCGCGAAAGCGUGGGGAUCAAACAGG
rnacentral:rRNA from 1 species